UGCAGAUUGCCAGGCGAGACGCGGCAAAGCAGAGGCAGGCAGCUAGGCACAAAGCAGCCGAGUUUUAAACUUUGAUUUUCCUGCUGCUGCCUAAAGCCUCGCACGGGAAGAACAUUACCUUUGUGUAGCCAGGAGCCGAGCUGCAGUCUGACUGUGCACGGUAGCUUCUGAUGUGGCAGCAUGAAUUCUCAGCUGGGCAGGACUGUUGUCGCCUAGCAGGGACAUAACCAGCCAUCAAGUGGAGAAUAGCCGGGACUGCUGUCUGUAUGCAGGUGGAGCCUGGAAGAGUGGCAGUCUCGUUUCCGUCAUCCGACGACUUCUUAUGUUCCUAACUAAUUGUGCUUGCUAAGCACACAGUGCUCUGAAUUACUCUUUCUGCCUUGCAGCCCUCAUCAAGUUGGGCUGCAAAUCAGGGUGCCAGGAAGCCUACAUCAGCCUGGGCUCCCUCCCACCUGCUGCUAUGCUAGCUAGCUACUAGGAUGGGUCACUCUGAUGACAAAGAAAGAUCUCAGGUAACACAGCCAGCAGUCACUGUGCGAAGCUCUUCCAGAAAGCCUGUGUGCCUCCUUCCAUGAUGUAUUCAGUCUUUUCGGCUACGUGGCUGUGUUUGUGCCUGCUUGGUGGACAGAGUCUGUGCUAAAGAGAACUUUUUGUCUGGCAGACUGUACCAUUCAUCUCGGGGUGAUUGUGCCAUUCUGAGGAGGUGGCACGGACUAUCCAUCCUCCCUGGGGAACAGCGGAAGCAUUUAGCAGAUGUGGGGGCUUCUGGAAUUGUCCUUCUAACAGCAUGGAGACAGCACGUGACUCAUGCCAACCAGCAACACCUUUGUGUUUGACUAUUUCAGGGAGGGACCGGAGGAAUUGUACCUUCAGCCCCUACCUACUGGAGUAUAAAAGACACAAUAUGACCCCCGCACCUGUACUCCUCCACCUGGGUCUGACAAAUGCUGGCCUAUAGCACAAGAAGCUUUGGAGAUUCCCUGAGAAGCCAGUUGGCAGACUGGGUUUUGCACUUGAUGCAGCCCCCAGUCCAGCACCUGAUGAACUGGAAAGACAAUGGUUAUCAUCACCACACUGAAGAGGAAGCUCUGGAGCCAGUGUUUUAAGCUAUCUAAUGAGACAAUCUUCCUUACCCACUACUGACUAGUAUCCGGCAUGAAACAAUGAACUUGGAAGAUGAAACGGUAAGGGAUACUCCAUGGGUAUGUGGAGUAUGUGGUCCUCGGCAUGGCUGUGUCCUUGUCAAACAAGAUAGACUGCUCAGGACUUCACUCACUCCCUAUGACAGUGGAAGGAAGGAAGUGACUUUUGCAACUUGUUCUAUGAUCUCCGCUCAUUCAACAUGGCACACACUCCUGUCUGAGCAAACAAAGACAACAUGUCCUUUAAAGCUAGAAGAAACACCUUUUGAAUAAAGGGGCCUCAGUGGAGCUUUAGAUCUGCACCCCGGAUGUCCUGGACCCAGAGAAAAUGCAACAGACUCUCUUGCUAUCCAAAGCAUGUUCCUGGGAGAGCGAGUGAUGGGAAGCACCGCCUACAGGAAGCCACAGGCAGGACAGAGAUGAUGGAGGCUUGGCGCUUGCAGAGGGUCCAUGAUGUUCGGAGAUAGGGAAAUGGGGUCUGGUUCCUCACAAGGCUGGGAUGGCAGAACUUUGGUUGGGAGACUAAGGAUGCCUGGUGAAGACCCUGCACCCCUGUGGAUCAAGCAGGUGUGAGACAAGCAGAGGGGAUGACAGUGACCAUAAGUACAUAGACACUAGCUGGGAGCCAUCUUACCUAAAUCUGUAUAUGGGCUGUUUUCCAGAACUCUGGGUAGAGGAAGAAAACUCAUAAAGAGAAAGAAAAGACUGGGCACCAAACCUGCACCUGCUCAUUUCCUUGGGAUAUGUUAGUGCAAAAAAAAAUUAACUUAAGAUUCCGAAUGACUUAAGGCUUUCUGCGUGCAACAUUCUAUUUGUAUUUUUCACAUCUAUGCUACAUCUAUUUAUCUCUGACAAAAUGUUAUUAGGGAAAGGCAGGAGAGCUGAAUUAACCAAGCUAAUUGAUCAUUAAGUAUAAUCGUCCAUUAAGUACAAAUUUCCAUUUAUAAUCUAUUUCUUCCCAGAGGAUUUCAAUUAUUAGAUUGCUGUAUUGAUAUGCUGAGGAGGUAAUCGUUACAUGUGUAAACAAACAAUAUAAAUUUCCACAUGAGAAAGAGAAGAAUAUUGAUCAGUUAUGCAUAUUGUCAGGAAAUCAUCUAGAAGGGUGAAGACAGGCACGAGACUAAAGAGAGGUGAGUCUCAUCUCAAAACCUAUCUGCCACCUCUUGGUGUCUUCUCAAUGGUUUCAGGACAUGACCCCAUGCUGUGCUCAAUGGUUCAGCAGUGUGUACUCAGAAAAGUGACUUAACUCCUGUGAUUUUCCAAUGUUUCUUUCAUAAGCAACAGGUAAUGCCAAGACUCAUCUCAAAGGGUUUCUGGCAGAAAUAAAAGAAUUAAACUUGGAACCUUCUAGAAACAUUCUUGGUGGCCCAUGAGCCUGUGAACAUCUUCAGGAGCACAGAGAGCAAUGUCCAGCCUCUGGCCUCACUCUCCAGCAUCCCCUCUCCCUGUUCUCUCAGCACAGGCAGGCUGCAGACAACAUGAAGGUCCUGUCACACUCUCAGCUCCCAUGAUCUUAUUUUUCCUGCCUUUCCAGGCUUCUUUUCUGUCUGGAAUGAGGGCCCCACACCUUUCUUGCUAAAUGUUUCUCCUGGAGAAGGAAUAAAGAUUGCUAAUCCCUGCUUCUGUCUAUUCCCUCUCUUGGCAGACCAGUAUUGGUAAGAAGAUAGUGGUCUUCUUUGCAAAACCCUUCUGUCUGAGCUGGACACAUCUCAGGGCCCUGUGUGAUAAUUAGCAGAGUAUCUUAGUGGCUCCAGCAUAGGAAAGACCCCCGAGGUCAGGGAGCAUGCACAUUUAUCGUAUCUGCCGGUCCCUGUCCACUGUGGCCAUCUUACGUACCCAAUCAUGGUUUAUGUCUGUUCUGUCUGGUUUCUCAGCACUGGGGAUCACACCCAGGGAUGUUACAUGACAGACAAGCACUCACCAUUGAGCUACCAGUCCAGACUCAACCAUCAUCUCCUGAACAACUUCAUUUGCCAUCAUAAUGUUGACUCAAGAAACAGGACACUUUGUAUUAGUUUUGUUUCAAGUACUCUGCCUACAUUUUAUUAGAUUUACAUGGAGCAACCAAGUCAGAAUUAGUGACACUUUCACAGAUAUUCAUGAUUUAUAGUCUCAAAAAAGAUGCCAUGUGGUUCCCAGGAUAGGUCAGUAACCAGGAUGGAGGCAGCAAGACACUGGGCAAAAAAUGUGGCAUUCAAAAUGGGUCCCACCCAGCAUUGCAGAUGAGCUGUGUGACUUGUUUGCUGUCUCUAGGUCUCAUUUCUUAACUUAAGAAAUGUAUCUAAGGUCUGGGGAGAUGGCUCAGUCAGUAAAAUGCUUACAGAGCAAGCGUGAGGAUCCGAGUUCAUUUUCAGAACGCAUGUGAAAAAUCUGGGCAGGAUAGAAUGUGACUGUAAUCUCAUGACUGAAACAGAGAAAGUGUGGUCUAUUUAAAAACUUCAGGACCAGUGAAAGACCCUGUCUUUUCAAAAAAAAAAAAAAAAGGUGAACAGAGCCUAAGGUAGGACAUUCUAAUUUUUCCUCUGGUUUCCAAAUGUAUUAUAACCUGAUAGUCCUGAUAGUCAUCCCUCCCCUCAUGCGUGCGUGCACACACACACACACACACACACACACAGAC